CGUCAAGUCAUCAUGGCCCUUAUGUCCAGGGCUACACACGUGCUACAAUGGCCGGUACAAAGUGAAGCGAGACCGCGAGGUUAAAGCGAAGCACGAAAGCCUGCCGUAGUCCGGAUUGAAGUCUGAAACCCGACUUCAUGAAGUUGGAAUCGCUAGUAAUCGCGCAUCAGCAUGGCGCGGUGAAUACGUUCCCGGGCCUU
rnacentral:rRNA from 1 species